rnacentral:rRNA from 1 species
AGUGAACGCUGGCGGUAGGCCUAACACAUGCAAGUCGAACGGCAGCACAGUAAGAGCUUGCUCUUACGGGUGGCGAGUGGCGGACGGGUGAGGAAUACAUCGGAAUCUACUUUUUCGUGGGGGAUAACGUAGGGAAACUUACGCUAAUACCGCAUACGACCUACGGGUGAAAGCAGGGGAUCUUCUGACCUUGCGCGAUUGAAUGAGCCGAUGUCGGAUUAGCUGGUUGGCGGGGUAAAGGCCAACCAAGGCGACGAUCCGUAGCUGGUCUGAGAGGAUGAUCAGCCACACUGGAACUGAGACACGGUCCAGACUCCUACGGGAGGCAGCAGUGGGGAAUAUUGGACAAUGGGCGCAAGCCUGAUCCAGCCAUACCGCGUGGGUGAAGAAGGCCUUCGGGUUGUAAAGCCCUUUUGUUGGGAAAGAAAAGCAGCAGGUUAAUACCCCGCUGUUCUGACGGUACCCAAAGAAUAAGCACCGGCUAACUUCGUG